GCAGCAGCGAGGACGGCGACGAGGGCGGCGGCGUGGGCGGGAGCUUACGGUCCGGCCACUUGCGCUUGAAGAAAUCUACCAUCGCCGCCAAGUUUACAGUCGUUGAUUUAGGUCUCAUUGGACCCGCAAAUAAUUUUGUCAACUGAAUAGCCAAAUCAUCUUCCAAAGGUAGCCCAAAAUCUCUCAGUGCUCUCAGAAAUGGUCUAGUAUCCAUCGGCUUCGGGUCCAAUUUGUAUAGUAUAUCUUGGCGGCUCUUAACUUCGCGCGAGUCGUUGCGCAGAAUACAUAGGUACAGCGGGGCGUAGCGGGAUGCGGGUGAAGGAUACUGCGCAGUGCGCCUAUGAUAAUGGACCGCAAGGUAGCGCCCAGUUCCGGAGGUCGUUCGUGGCGGGGUGUUACGCGGGGAGGAAGGGCGUGGGAAGUAGGCGCUUGCACUUUCGUUACAUCGGUCGCCGCUACGUCUGCUAACUAGCUGAUAUUCAGUAAUCAUGCCUCAGUAAUGAUCUUAACAAGCAAGGAGAAAGUCUAGAACAAGAGACCUGCAACUUUAUCUAAGGAGUACAUGACAUGUUUC